UUCUCCUACGGGAGGCAGCAGUGGGGGAUAUUGCACAAUGGGCGAAAGCCUGAUGCAGCGACGCCGCGUGAGGGAAGACGGUCUUCGGAUUGUAAACCUCUGUCUUUGGGGAAGAAAAUGACGGUACCCAAAGAGGAAGCUCCGGCUAACUACGUGCCAGCAGCAGCGGUAAUACGUAGGGAGCAAGCGUUGUCCGGAAUUACUGGGUGUAAAGGGAGCGUAGGCGGGAGGGCAAGUAGAAUGUUAAAUCCAUCGGCUAAACAGGUGGCUGCGUUCUAAACUGCCGUUCUUGAG
rnacentral:rRNA from 1 species